rnacentral:rRNA from 1 species
AACGAACGCUGGCGGCAUGCCUAACACAUGCAAGUCGAACGAGACCUUCGGGUCUAGUGGCGCACGGGUGCGUAACGCGUGGGAACCUGCCCUUAGGUUCGGAAUAACUCCCCGAAAGGGGUGCUAAUACCGGAUAAUGUCUUCGGACCAAAGAUUUAUCGCCUUUGGAUGGGCCCGCGUUGGAUUAGCUAUUUGUUAGGGUAAAAGCCUACCAAGGCGACGAUCCAUAGCUGGUCUGAGAGGAUGAUCAGCCACACUGGGACUGAGACACGGCCCAGACGCCGACGGAAGGCAGCAGGAGGGAAGCUGCCGCAAAGGGCGAAAGCUUGACGGAGCAACGCCGCGGGAGGUAUGAAGGUCUGCGGACCGGAAAACGCUGUUAGGAGGGAAGAACAAAUGGGUAAGUAACUAUGCACGUCUGGACGGUACCUAAUCAGAAAGCCACGGCUAACGACGUG